rnacentral:tRNA from 1 species
ACCUGGCUGGUUCAGUCGGUAGAGCACAAAACUCCUAAUCUCAGGUCAUGAGUUCGAGCUCAUGCUGGGGG